rnacentral:misc_RNA from 1 species
UCGUUAACUUUUCUAUUUUUAGCACUAAAUGCUUCAACCUGGUAUUUCCUUUAUGCUCUAUGAUUUAUAUAUAUGUUUCAAUAGGAAUGAAGUUGUAUGCUUUGUGUCACUCCCUCGUUACCUAAAUUCUCUUGAAUAAAAUGUGCGCCAUGGCUUGCAGCUUGCAACUUGCAACUUGCAACUUGCAGGCAAAGCAAAUACAGAGCAGAUGGUCCUUGAUCUAGUUGAAUGGACAUUGAGGCCUAAAAGUAGAGGCCAGAGGGUGAAAAUUUGGGUAGGCAUCUUUUCGAAGUAUUAGUCUAGUGGUAAAGGUUAACCCAUUUGAUAUUUUAGGACUGAAUAAUUGGCCCACAGAGAUAUUUUCAGAGGGUAAUUAUUGGUCUAUACAUUGAUGAUUUGUCCCCAGGUUGCUUGCCAUUAAGCAAACAACUUUAAACCCAACCAUUCAAUUCUAACGUUGUCAUUUCCUAUUGCAUAAGAUUGAUGAAUGGUGUAUUGAUUAUUAAGCUUUCCUUUUUACAAUCACUCCAUGAUAAAGGAGCAAGCUAAGGCUUUUUGA